rnacentral:lncRNA from 1 species
UGAUAUUAAAAUUAGCAUGAGAAGGCUCAGCGGAGAGACCACAGCCUGACAUUUAUUUGAAACUAUUCUACAGCUAACUAUGCAAGGAACUAGAACAGGGAGAAGAAUCCAGGUUGCCCAUGACCUUUCUACCCACUACUCUCGAGUCUCCUUGGGACUCCUUCCAACCUAGACAUGAGCUACUGUUCUUGCACAGCCUCUGCGGAGUCUCAGGGUUUGAGGAUCAAUUAUGUGCACUGGAAACAAGUCGCUGUCCUACCUCUCUAGCUUUGUUGGGCCUGUGAUUUCUCCUUAUUUUUCUGGGAACCAAGAGGGUGCAGAAUCUGUGGAGAGAAUGAUCAAAUAUUUGUGCAUAGAUGCCCUUUGCACUGUCUCCAUGUGGCCUGAAGGCGGGGACUCACUUCUGCUACUCUCUGACAGCCACAGGUGCUAGGGACUCAAAAAAAAAAAAAAAAAAAAAACACCAAAGAAUGUUCUCUUGUUGACUUUGUGAGACAAACCCAAGUCCGUGAUGAGUUUCAGGGAAAAAGAAAAAACAUGGACUUACACAUCCAUGGGAAGAGUAUUGGAUGUGGGACACAUCUUGUUCUUCUGUGGACAUCUGGGAGUCAAGAUGCAGCAAGGCCACUUGGAAAUCUCUGGAAACUAUUUUCAACAAAGCAUGUAGAGUCUCUCUUUGCUGAGACCCUAAAGCUUGCAGUCCCGGGUGGGUUGUCCACACCAUUUACCCCCAAACCUCUGGUCUUCACCCAUCUUGAGAACUGGAA